rnacentral:misc_RNA from 1 species
GGGAAACAGAUGGUUUACAUAGAUUAAGACAGGGGCUCACAAUUCUGGAGAGGAUCUGCAAGGCCUGGUGAGGGAACUAUGAGGUCCUUCCCACACAUAUAUUCUUCACUUAGCCAAGGUUUUCAAAUGGUUGAUUUUCACUUCACUUCUCACUCAAACCCAACAACAUAAUGGCACAAGAUAUUUAAAUUUUCAUAAAAAAAAAAGUUUAUAACUAGCAAAAUAAGCACCGAAAAAAUACAUUUUAAAAGCCAAACUAGUUUUUGAGGGUGUAGUUAGUUUACUAAAACAUCACCUGCUAUUACUUCUUGGAUGUAUGGCAUCUUUUUCAGAACCUUAUAAACAAUAUCAAUACUAAGGCACUGCUGAUAAAUUUGUUUCUGUUCUGUCACGUUAAGGUAUGUAGUGGCAGUAGCAACAACACGUUAAGGUAAGUUAAGUAGAACGAAUACAGA